CUGUUAGAAAGCUGAAUGGCUACGCUUUAAAAUGAAUGUAAACUUUAACGUUUUCGUCUAUUAUUUGUUUAGCAAUUUACAUUUCAGUCGAGGAUUGCGCUUUUUUUGAUACACCCUGUAUAGCUCCUGCGAAUUGUUGUCAGUUUUACAUACUAAUUAACCAAUUAUUUUUAUCACGUUACAUCAAAAUUAUGAACACAAUAAAUUACAACUUUCUCAAUUACGUUUCCAUUCAUUCUAGCACUUUC